rnacentral:rRNA from 1 species
CGAACGAGCACAGAACUUUUGGAGGUGCUGAGUGGCGGACGGGUGAGUAACGCGUGGGUACCUGCCUUGCAGAGGGGGACAACAGUUGGAAACGACUGCUAAUACCGCAUAAUACCGCAUGAUUAAAGAUUUAUCGCUGCAAGAUGGACCCGCGUCUGAUUAGCUAGUUGGUGGGGUAACGGCCUACCAAGGCAACGAUCAGUAGCCGGCUUGAGAGAGUGAACGGCCACAUUGGGACUGAGACACGGCCCAGACUCCUACGGGAGGCAGCAGUGGGGAAUAUUGCACAAUGGGGGAAACCCUGAUGCAGCGACGCCGCGUGAGUGAAGAAGUAUUUCGGUAUGUAAAGCUCUAUCAGCAGGGAAGAUAAUGACGGUACCUGACUAAGAAGCCCCGGCUAACUACGUGCCAGCAGCCGCGGUAAUACGUAGGGGGCAAGCGUUAUCCGGAUUUACUGGGUGUAAAGGGAGCGUAGGUGGCAAGGCAAGUCAGAUGUGAAAACCCGGGGCUCAACCCCGGGACUGCAUUUGAAACUGUCUAGCUAGAGUGCAGGAGAGGUAAGUGGAAUUCCUAGUGUAGCGGUGAAAUGCAUAGAUAUUAGGAGGAACACCAGUGGCGAAGGCGGCUUACUGGACUGUAACUGACACUGAGGCUCGAAAGCGUGUGGAGCAAACAGGAUUAGAUACCCUGGUAGUCCACGCCGUANACGAUGAAUACUAGGUGUCG